UGAUUUGUUCGUCAAAGAUUCCUGUUGCUUAAAAUAAAGUCCUUUGGCGUCGGCAGGCUUCAUUUCUCUGCUGGAGCCAUGGCUUUGGGAAUGGUCUCCCUACUGAAGCGUUGCUUGUGGCUUGGCCUCGCCCAUCAUUUUAUUGUGGUCUCCGCAUGCCAUGGAUCUUAUGGACAAUUAAUUGAGGAAUUUUGUUUCAGCAAAUUUAAAUCUGACAUGGAAACUCUCAGGAAGACACUGUGGUGCAAUUGGGAUAAGACUUUGGGCUGUUACAAGGAGCUUACCAAUUGCACCAUCCUGAUAGCUGAGAAACUGGAUUGUUACUGGCCAAACCAACUGGUGGAUCAGUUCUUCAUAACAAUUCAUAGGCACUACUUCAAAAACUGCCCUGUUUCAGGAAGAGCUGUAGGAGAUCCCCCUAACAUCAUUUUGUGUCCAUUCAUUGUUGUACCUAUUUUUAUCACCCUACUCAUGACGGCAUUGGUAGUGUGGCAAAGCAAACACAGUGAAGGCAUUGUUUAAACUUUUUUAAUACCCAAAAGCCCAAGAUAACAUUGGUGAAGAUGAACCCCAAAGUCUCCAACGUCCAAGCUGUACUGAAGGACUACUUUGCUGUGUCUUCUGUAGAGAUCUGGAUUCUGGAAAAAAGUAAUUUUAGAGACAGUGUCUAAUGGUAGAAAACAUUCCGCUACCCAGAGGAAAAAAAUAUGCAUAUUCUUUAGCUAACAAAUAUUUUGCUGAAGUCAAGAGAAUCCACUGAGAAAUUGUUCUCAUUGUCUGAACUGAUAUUAAUCAUAUUAGAGACAUGCUUGCACUAGUGCUGCUUCAGUCUUCACUUCUUCAAAUUUAAGCUUCCCUUUCCUGGUUCUUUCUGUAUGUUUUUAUUCUCCUUGGUAAUCACACACUUCCCUUGGGACUAUGGACUAUUUUUUCAGAUAAGGUAAUUUGAAAAAAAAUGCUGGUGAUGCACAUCAGCACCCGUGUAUCCAUAAGAACACUGUCUGCGAUGCAGUAUAAGAAACCAUUUCAACUCCUUUUGUUGGCUAAAAACACUGGAAAACCAAUAUAUAUUGUUCAUUGCAUUACAAUGGUAUUUAAAAGCAUGGGAUAUUCCUCUGGCUGAAAAAUUAACAUAGCAACAUUUUUUAGAAAAUCCUAUGAUUAAGUAUAAGUUCAUUCAAAUAAUAUUACUAUUUCCAAGGCAUAUUAAUGUUUUUCCUAAUAGAUUACUUUUGUAUGAACAAAUGUUCAUGAUAAAUAUUUUUAUGUGGGCAUAAUUAGUGCAGACAUUAACUCAUAGGAAAAAUACCAAAUUAUUGGCAAAAUAUAAAACAAAGUUUGUGAGGUACCUUUCUAAUAAAAACCUACAACACUAAGAAAUUUAGUAGUAAAGUAGUAAAUCUAUUAAUAAAGAAACUAUACACCAUACAACAUUGGUGGCAACAGCUAAUUUUUGAUUAACUUUGGUGGAAUUCCCUACCUGAGGACGAGAAUGUCUACAUAUUGGCUCACAGCUGUUGGCUGUUCCAUGUAUGCACUGAAGAGUCUAUGAGAUGUAGAAUGAAAAGAUGCCAUAACUGGUAGUUAUAAAUAAUACUGAUUUAUUGCAACAAUAAAAU